UGCUGCCCAGGUGGCCUCUUCUCCUGGGGCCCAGGCUUCUAGGGUGUGAUGGAGGAGAGAUGGGGGUGGGGGGCGGCAGGGGGGGAAGCCCUUUAACCUCCCAUGGCCAGAGGUGCCAGAGCAUCUUACAGACCAGGGGCCUCCACGCUCUCGUUCCCUCCCCCCUGCUGUUUUGAUCACACUUCCUCUAUGGGUAAAAAUGUCUGAGCUUAUACGCUCCAUAUAAAUGAUCAUAAUGCUACAUUAUUGAAUAGCUCAUACAUGAAAAGAAGUCAGCAAGUUAAAGGAUGAAACUUUUAAAUGCAAAAGAGAAAUUGAGGUCUCCGUAUAAGACCACUUCCACAGACAGGCCAGGACCCUUCAGUCCUACGGUCUCCAUGAUGCCCUGAUGAAUUAUGACAUGAUUCCUAGAACUUGGGGCUUUAAAGACAAGGGAGCAGCCUCAUAGAAGACCUGAGCCCCAGUAGCCCACCAAAGUCUUUAGGAAGGCACGGAAAAUUCCCAUCUUACGUCGCCUGAAGGAUCACCUGUAAGGCGAAUUUGGGGAGAAGUCUUAGCACAUUCAGGGCUCAGAGAGUGGGACAGCGAGGGAAAAUGAUGACUCAUCUUGCCUCAUCCAUGAAACAGAGCAUCCCUGCUUCCUAGAAAGAAGGCAGAAGGAAUCCUUAGCAACCUCCAUGUUCUACCCUGUAGGAGUUUGGCAACAGCCAUGAUGGCAGGUAGGGUUAGGGUUAGGGUGAAGGCCAGGAGCUCCGAGGACUGCCCUCCCAGGCCCACAGUACCACAUGCUCCCCAUCCAUCCAAAGCCUGCUGAACACAGAGAGGAGGGCGGGGAUGUUGGGGCCGGGCAAGAGAGAAAGAGAUGGCAUGGGGGGUUUUAAAGUUGGCACCCCAAGGUGUCAACACAACAAGAGAGAGAGAAGAAAUCUUCAUAGCAGCGCCUGAUGAGGAUGUGCGUUUCUCAUUUAUUCCGUCAGUUCAACCCCUCAGAGAGCCAGGCACGGGGAAGUAGGAGAAGAGCUGCAUUUGGACAAGAGGCAGGUGGCAGAAGUGAUAUUCUGAGCCUUUCGCCCUCAGUUAAAUCAAGCUUUUAUGAUUUUAUGGAUUUUUGACACUGGAGUUCCAAGUAAGAUCUUUUCUGGAAAAAAAAAAAAAAAACGUUCUGCUGAAAAUCGUGAUAGUUGUUCCUACUGGACAUUGGGAAUUGGAUCAUGAGCUGUUACAGCCACCGACUGUACGGCUGAACUGAGCCCAAGUGGAGCCGGCCGAGCGACCCACUCAUCUGCUUCUGUGGUUCAUUUUCUCUUUGUGCAGAAGUAAGUGAGGAAGGGGAGCCUGAAGGGGGACCCUGAAGACCCUCAGCAAGAAUCACAGAAAGAGAAAAAAACAACUGAAACAUUCAGAGGGAGACUAGCAAUAAAAAUGUCUUGCAGCCAAACCCGGAAGAAGAUUUUAGAAAACUCUUUGGCACCUUCAAUAAACAAAGUUUCUAUGAAACCGAAGUAGAAAACCAUAAGGAAAACAAAAAUGAGAUAAAAAGGAAUAGAAGGGCAAGGAAACUACUAUAUUAACGGUACGAUUAAAAUCAUCUGAGUUGGAGGCCAUAAAAAACGAAAUGCCCAGAAAAUUAAAUCAUUGACAUGGAGGAUAAACUGCAGCCGUCUUUACAAAGAGCAGAGGAAGUGGCAAAAGCAAUAAAGAUUAUGAGAAAGGAAAUGAUGCACUUGGACGAUAAAUAAUAGAGACGGAGUCCAAGAAGCAUAGGCUGUUCUAAGCAAGAAACACAAAUAAAUGGGUGUAGAACCAAUAAAACAUAAUGGAAACAUUGCAGAGAUAUUUUAAACUAUAAGGAUGCGAACCCAGAAACAAACCGUAAAAGAAGAAACUAUCUGAAGCGAGGAAGGGCACGAACUCUCCAAACCGUCAAACAACAUCAACAACAGCAAAUAUACGGAUCACCAUAGCAAUGUGUUUGGGUAGAUACAUUGUUUUAAGUUUACAGAGCAUUACAAAAUUGCGGGGAAAUUUGUCUGUGAUAACUAUGGCCAAGGGUCAAUACAUUUGAUAUAAAAAUAACGUUUAAAGAUCCAUAAAAAUACAGACACCCCCUCAUAAGAAAUCUGGGCAAAGCUUAUAGAUGAAAUCAUUAAGGACCCAGAUAUGUGAUACAUAUCGGAAGCCAUGUUUAACUUCAUUGCUGAAAAUACCCAAACACCAAACAGGACUGACAGUAAAGUCUGUUUCUUAUGUUUGCAGUUUUUGUUUAAAGCUGUAAUCCUUAAGCACUCAAGGCACCUGUGAUGUAAGGUGGUUUUUGAAAAGCACGAUUUAAUUAGCACUGACUUUCUCCCAGGUGAAGGAGUCUUCUUGGCCUUGAGGUUUCCGUUUCACAUUUGCUUCCUCCAACGAGUUUUGUCUGACCACCUAGGCGGGGUGAUGUUCUCUUACUGGAAUUUUUCAUUGCCCUUCACAGUUCGUGGCAUUUAGCUCAACCAUAUUGUGAUUUAUUUAGUCAAUAGCUGGCACCUCACAGAGACGAUAAUAAUAAAGCUUAUCUUGGGAAUUUGCCUCGUGCUAGGCAAUAUUUAAGUGCUGUUUACAUGUUUUGUUAUGUUUAAUCCUCUCCAUCACCUUAUGAUGCAGAGUCUUCCAUUGUGCUUGUUUUAUAAAGGAGGAAGCUGCUGAAGCGCCCAGUCCUAGGUCAUGGACCCGGUACCUGCUUCCACCCACUCGAAGCUGCUGCUCCUGGUAUGCAAGCUGUAGGCAUCUUUUUGGAACUUUUUCCCAUCCAGACUGAUCAAACGGAAGCAAAGCUCUCUCCCUCCAGGAAGGGACUUGAUCUUUCAUUUUCUGAGCCUCAGGCAGCACCACAAACACCGUCCUCUAAGGCUCCACCAGCAAAUCAAGGCUAACAUCUUAAACAUAUAAAGCAAGUUCCUUUAAUUAAAAAGACUCAAAAUUCACCUGUGUUUUCUCCUUUGUUUAGUGAGCAAACCUUUUCCCUGGGACCACCACCUCCAUGUUUCAAGAUGCCACAUUCCACCACAAAGAUACAAAGCAAAGCUGGGGCCACUGAGGAAUUCGUGACCCAAACGUCCAAAUCCCCUUUUGGAUCCAAAGGAAAAUAUCCUGCCACUUUCAAAUGCUGUUUUGUAAAUGCCAAACAGAGGGAUAAGCGACAUGUUUUAUGGAUUCAGGACACAUUCGAGUGAUUAAAUCAAGUGAAAAUAGGGUUAUCUCCCUGUUCACAAGGAGUAGCUGGGAGUUUCUGGGAGUGGGGGGAACUGAGGCUAGGGCUUUCUGGGAGUGGGCAAAUGGAAAAGAGAGAAGGUUUUCUAAUUAACCUGCUGGUCUGUAACCAGCAGGGAGCAGGGAAAGAAUUGUUGAAGGUGCGCUAUUUUGUACAAUAAGGACACUGCUGUGAACUUCUAAUCUAUCACAACCCCUUCAAUACAGGAUUCUCUCUCUGUGUCUCCCUCUUACACACACACACAGACACAGACACAACCAACACAGCUCAGGGCAUUAAGAAAGCGAGCUUUGCUGUUAGGUCUGGGUUUGAGUCUGAGAUCUGCGACUUGCCUGGUGCCACUUUCUUAAACUAUUGUGCUCGGCCCUCUCAUGCAUUUGGGAUGAUAAAAGGGACGGCUUCGUUGGGUUGUAAUGAGAGGUUCAUGAGAUAAGUAGGCAGAGAACUUAGGAUGGAGCCUGAUGUGUCGUGGGCCUUCAGUACAUGUUAAGCAUUAAUAUUUCACAGCAGCAACCUGACCUGCCAGUGAAAAUGAUCCCUUCCUUUCUUUUUCAUUGUACCUUAAUUACAUUUUAUGGAAACAUGCUAAACUGCAGUGUAUUACUUUCCAGUCUUAUUCAAUAGACCAUAGGAACGACAGUGAGUGCUUUUGAUUUUGUUGGGCUUUUUUGGUGCUUAAUAUGCUUCACCAUACAAAUAUAAACACGGCAGGAGUCUAUAAAGUCAAAAUUGGAAGUCUGCUGGCUCUGCUCCUAUUCUCCAGGUAAACGCUCCUAGAGUUUGUGGCGUGUCCUUUGUGAUUUUGCGUUUUCUUAGAAGCGCCAUCAAAUGUUGAGAUGGAGCAGCUGCUCUCGUCUCCAGUUAUAACAGAGUGGGCACAAGUUUGCCUUUAUACUAACUGGUCCCAAUCAGCCAGUCCUUCCAAGUUCCAGGCCUGGUUCUCGGCCUUUCUGCUUCUCGAUGUGAGUGUCUGACUUUCCCACUCCUGCUCCUUCCCACAUUCGUUAUAGUUUUUAAUCCUUUUUGUUUAGACGACAAAAAAAUUAAAUUGAUUAUACGAGUGGGUUAGAAUAGCCAUUUCAGCUAUUUUGGAUAUGUAAUACAGUUCAUAUAUUUCUGAGUCUAUGAUUAUCCCAUGAAAAAGAGGGGUCGUGGAGUUCCCAUGGUGGCUCAGUAGAAAUGAAUCUGACUAGCAUGCAACAGGACGCAGGCUGGAUCCCUGGCCUCGCACAGUGGGUUAAGGAUCUGGCAUUGCCGUGAACUGUGGUGUAGUCGCAGACGCGGCUUGGAUCCCCUGUUGCUGUGGCUGUGGUGUAGGCUGGCAGCUACAGCUCCGAUUUGACCCCUAGCCUGGGAACCUCCAUACGCUGUGCAUGCAGCCCUAAAAAGAC
rnacentral:lncRNA from 1 species